rnacentral:rRNA from 1 species
ACGGGAGGCAGCAGUGGGGAAUAUUGCACAAUGGGCGAAAGCCUGAUGCAGCGACGCCGCGUGAAUGAAGAAGUAUUUCGGUAUGUAAAGUUCUAUCAGCAGGGAAGAUAAUGACGGUACCUGACUAAGAAGCACCGGCUAAAUACGUGCCAGCAGCCGCGGUAAUACGUAUGGUGCAAGCGUUAUCCGGAUUUACUGGGUGUAAAGGGAGCGCAGGCGGCCUAGCAAGUCUGAAGUGAAAUCCCGGGGCUCAGCCCCGGAACUGCUUUGGAAACUGUUAGGCUAGAGUGUCGGAGGGGUAAGCGGAAUUCCUAGUGUAGCGGUGAAAUGCGUAGAUAUUAGGAGGAACACCAGUGGCGAAGGCGGCUUACUGGACGAUAACUGACGCUGAGGCUCGAAAGCGUGGGGAGCAAACAGGAUUAGAUACCCUGGUA